UUAAUUGAAGCCAAAAUUAGAGGCAUAUCAUUGUUAAUGAUAAUAUUGAAUAUUAAAUUCCAAUUAAA
rnacentral:tRNA from 1 species